GUGGGGAAUCUUCCGCAAUGGACGAAAGUCUAACGGAGCAACGCCGCGUGAGUGAAGAAGGUUUUCGGAUCGUAAAGCUCUUUCGUUAGGGACGAACGUGCUCUUUGUGAAUAAUGAGGAGUAAUGACGGUACCUAAAUAAGAAGCCACGGCUAACUACGUGCCAGCAGCCGCGGUAAUACGUAGGUGGCAAGCGUUGUCCGGAAUUAUUGGGCGUAAAGCGCGCGCAGGCGGGAUAUCAAGUCUGUCUUAAAAGUGCGAGGCUCAACCUCGUGAGGGGACAGAAACUGGUAUUCUUGAGUGUCGGAGAGGAAAGUGGAAUUCCAAGUGUAGCGGUGAAAUGCGUAGAGAUUUGGAAGAACACCAGUGGCGAAGGCGACUUUCUGGACGAUGUCUGACGCUGAGGCGCGAAAGCUAGGGGAGCGAACGGGAUUAGAAACCCCGGUAGUCC
rnacentral:rRNA from 1 species